CAUCGGGCCAGAGACAGAGGGGACACACAGAGAAAGCAGAGCUGGGGUCCGAGUCUCUCUAGUGUAAUGGCUAUGUGCCCAGGGGCAGGACAGCUCAUUCUCACACCUCUGGAUUCCCGUCUGUGAAGAGAGUGAAGGCACAGCUUUGUGCAAAGCCAUCUCCCUGAGCAUCCAGCACCUGUGCUGUCCCAUGUGGCCAGCAGGGACAGGCUUCCUUCGGGGAGGUGGUGGGGUGACAGGGUCCCGCCUGCAGUGACCAGGAGAUUGAUACUGCCCCUCGGUCUCCUCUGGCUCCACCAGCCAGGUGAGAGACCUGGGAAAGGUGGAGCCCUGCGAGGGGAGAGUGCAGGAGGGGUCACUGCCAUGCCUGGGCCAUGACAAGGGCUUGUGGAGCCCCUGGGUGUUCUGGGUUUGCUGUCGUAGCAGCCAAUCAGCAAGACCACGCUGGCAGAGGUGGGACAGAGAAGACCAGAGAUGGCCAAGCAUGUGCUGUCCACACGGCAGGCGCCUGGUCUGCUCAGAGAGAGGCAGCACCCAGCCUGAAGCCCUGAGUGCUGAGCGCAGACCCUGGUCCCAGGAAUUCCACACAUCUGUUCCUGGAGUUCUCCUGCAGAGCGACCUGGCUUGCUUCCAUCUUUACAAAGGACAGAGGGAGGGAGCCUGGCUGCUGACCAUGGUCACAGCCCUUAGCGGAGAGAGGCAGCCUCCUCCGCCAUGCUGCUGUUACCCCCAGCCUAAGCAAGUCAGCUGUGGACAGCAGUGUCCCCUGUGCGUGGCAUCAUCACACAGAAUGAAUACAAGGUGACCCGCCACAACCAGGUGCCCAGUGGCAGUGGGCAGCGGGUAGGACCUGCACAGCUCCCGACAACUCCGGGAUUCUAAAGCUUUUCUAUUGUUUGGCAAAGGUGAAAGUGAAACUGGUCCAGAUUAAAUAAUUUUAAAAAUCCA